GGGAUAUUAGCUCAGUUGGUAGAGCAAUUGACUCUUAAUCAAUGGGUCGGGGGUUCGAGACCCUCAUAUCCCAUCA
rnacentral:tRNA from 1 species